GUUAGAUAGGGUAGAGGCAGAAGUAGAGGCAAUUAAACAUGAAGGAUUGUGAAGGCAAAAGAUGAACCAGCCAGCUGUAGUCUCUGGAUGCAUAAAUGGAGAAGACCCGGAGAGAAAAACUGACGUUCUCUGUGUUUACCUGUAAGCACAGGUAAGUACAGAACCUUCUGGGAGAGCCCACUGAUUUUGGUGGCAACAGCCUUCUUCAAGUGAAGAUGGGAGGGAGUGAGCCUGCAUCUUUAAGGAUCACACAAUCUCAUUUUAAUUAUUAACUCGCUGCAUUAUUAACGGACCAGCUGUGUGCAGCAGAAAACCAAGGGUCAGAACUCCAGGCCAAAGAUCCAUUCCUGGUGCCACCUCCAGCCCAGCGGUCUCGAACUCUUCUCAGGACCCUUUCAGAACUUGAUGAAUGACAGCGAGACUUCCUUCCAGAAAAGUGCACGAUUUGUCUGCAAUUUCGGGAUUCGGCUAGGAAUACGGCUGCAGGCCGCAACCUGCCAUGCUGUUCUUAAGUGCCCAAGUGCUGGUGACAAGAGGGUUUCCCUUUGCCAUCUGGACUUGAUUGCCUUAGAGAUGGAGAUUGCACAGUCCAUGAAGACACACAACACUCUCCGAAGUCACUGCUCCAUGCUGUGCCCCUCAUCCCUGCCUGGGAGCUCGGUAUCUCUACCUCCCACUUUACUAACCAGCACCUCUGCCUUCACUCAGAGCGCUCAGGACAUGGGUGUAAGCCACUCAGAAACAGUUCUUGAAUCUCAGGUGCAAUACUGGCCUCCUAAAUCCUAGCGAUUCCCAGAGGAGUGAGAGGUGGGAGGUGGCAAGGAUGAAAGGCUGACUUUAGCUCUGCAUUUGGAGCCUCUUGAAUCAUCUUUGUUUGAUGGGAAACUGGGAAGACUGGGGGAGGAUAAUGGAUUAAGCUCAUUCCAUUGAAAAGAGCUCACUCAGAUAUCAGGAAAAAGCCAGAUGAUAAUACUAGAUUUACAAACCGCAGGCGGUUUGUCUUCUCAUCCCCUACAGGCUGAAAGCUCCAGGGUCAUGACAUUUUAGGCUUCUUGAGGCAGAGGGAUUAGAGUAUGGGCUUUGGACCCAGGCAGCCCUGGGUUCAAAUCCCAGCUCUACCAUUUACUGCGUGUUAAACGUUCAUACAUUGCUUAACCCCUUGAGCUUCAGUUUUCUUAUCUGGAAAACGGGUAUGACAUCAGCUGCUUCUCAGAGUUGUCCUGAGGAUGGGAGAUGAUGCCUAUAAAAAUGUCAAGGUCAGCUGGGCGCGGUGGCUCAAGCCUAUAAUCCCAGCACUUUGGGAGGCUGAGGUGGGCAGAUCAUGAGGUCAGGAGAUUGAGACCAUCCUGGCUAACACGGUGAAACUCGUCUCUACUAAAAAUACAAAAAAUUAGCCGGACGUGGUGGCACGUGCCUGUAGUCCCAGCUACUCCGGAGGCUGAGGCAGGAGAAUCGCUUGAACCCAGGAGGCAGAGAUUGCAGUGAGCUGAGAUUGCACCACUGCACUCCAGCCUGGAUGACAGAGCGAGACUCCGUCUCAAAAAAAAAAAAGAAAACGUCAAGGCUGUUGCCUGCCCUAUAGUCGGCACCUGCGUUCAGUAAAUAAUAAGUUCUCACUGCCACCCUCACCUUCUCCAGAUUUUCACUUUUCCCUCCCACUUUCCUCUGGAGGCUGCCUGCACUCUAAGCCAUCUCUAUGAUGUCAUCUAACCCAGAUCUUUCCAAUUCUUCCUAAGACCAGACGUUUUUCGGGGACAAUGCUGGGUGACAGCCAUCAGUCCAAGCUGUAGCCAAGGAAAGUGCUCUAUCCCUGUCUAAGGGUAAUUCCCAAGUGGGUUCCCGGUAACAGUAACGAAUGUCUGUGAGCAUUCCUUGCAACAAUUAUUAUUGUUAUUUUUGAGACGAAGUCUCACUCUGUUGCUUAGGCUGGAGUCCAGUGGCAUGAUCUUGGUUCACUGCAACCUCCACCUUCUGGGUUCAAGCGAUUCUUCUGCCUCAGCCUCCCGAGGCGCCCACCCCCACGUCCAGCUAAUUUUUCUAUUUUUAGUAGAGACGGGGUUUCACCAUGUUGGCCAGGCUGACCUCAAGUGAUCCACCCGCCUCAGCCUCCCAAAGUGCUGGGAUUACAGGCGUGAGCCACCACACCUGGCAAUAAUAAUUUUAUUUUUAAAGGAAUUCUGUGGUCAUAUUAAUUUAGGAAAUACUUAGAGAUUCACAGUGCACAUUAGCAUAUUAAGGGUUCUGAGAAAUCCUUUUAGCAAAUAAACCCAUUUAGCUUUGUUUAUGCUAACUUUCCCAUUUGAUCUGACCUGGUCGCAUCCUGUUAUCCCUCCUCUUUUCUCAGAGUGCUUUCUUUUAACUCCUCUCAAUUCAUCCUCCCAAAACCCUCUCACCCAGUUUCACAGAUGUGGAAAUGGGGUUCAGAGAGGUGAAGUGACUUGCCCGUGAUGACUCAGCUGGGUAGCACCAGAAACAGCUGCUUGCUUCCUGAGUCCAAGGCUCUUUUCUCUACAUCUGGAAGAAACAGCUGAAUACAUCCCUUUCUAGUUAAACAACCAAAGAAUCUAUCAAUCAUUGCCUGGGCUCCUGGGAUGACAUCGCCCAACAAUUUCAUUUUCUCAACAAUGGGAAAACCAGAAAAGGGAAGUGAUUUUUCCAAAAGUGACAGAAACAGGGGUGGCAGAGCCAGAACUGGGACCCAGCCUAUUAAACCCCAUGCCAGGCCAUCUUCACCCUAUGCCUGGGGCCUACCUGUCUGGCUCAAACCCCUCAGUCAUCUUCAUUACAGCUUUCUUCCUUCCAAUACUAGAAUAUAUUGUCCAAUAGAUCUUUCUGUGAUAACAGAAAUGUUCUAUAGCUGUGCUAUCCAAUAUGGCAACCACUAACUACAUGUGGCUAUUGGUCUCUUGAGACGUAUCUAGUGCAAAUAAGAAGUAAAUGUUUAAUGCUAUUUAAUUUCACUUAAAUUACACUUGAAUGGCCACAUGUGGCUAAUGCCUACCAUAUUGGACAAGGCAACUCUAGAGGUCAGAAAUCAAGGCCAGGCACAGUGACUCAUGCCUAUAAUCCCAGCAUUUUGGGAGGCUGAGGCAGGAGGAUUGCCUGAGCCCAGGAGUUCGAGACAAGCCUAGGCAACAUAGGGAGACCUCAUCUGUAUAAAAAUAGCCAGGCAUGGUGGCAUGCACCUGUAAUCCCAGCACUGUGGGAGGCCAGGGUGGGAGGAUCACUUGAGCCCAGGAGUUCAAGACCAGCCUGGGCAACAUGGCAAAUCCCCAUCUCUACAAAAAAUUAAAAAAUUAUGGUAGCCUGAGCCUGUGGUCCCAGCUACUCGGGAAACUGAGGCAGGGGGAUUGCUUGAAGUUGAGGCUGCAGUGAGCCAUGAUCCUGUCACUGCACCCCAGCCUGGGUUGACAGAGCAAGACCCUGUCUCAAAAAAGAAAAAUAAAUCAUAUCGUAUCAAGUCUACUGAGAUCCACUCAGUUUAACUAUCAUAUGAAUAGAAGAUCCUUGUAAGAACCGUUGAGGCUAAACUGCCUGGACCUUGUUGAGGGCUAAAUUCCCUUUCAUCAGGGCACAACCCGAGAUGUCUUUGCUCAAAGCUAUUUCUUCCUUCCCUGGCAGCAUCCUACCCAGCUUCUAAUCUAAGCUCAAACACACCCUCCUUCAGGAAGAUUUGCCGUUCUACCUUCUCCCCACCAAGCAGAGUGAAGGGAUUCUUCUUUGGAAC
ensembl:lincRNA